UCCAUUUCACAUCAAAGCUAACGGCUAGGCUGCUAGCAUCCCCUACUGCUCUCCUGCUCGUCCUGAGUUAUCUCUAUAAACAACACAGUGUGGAUUAUUGGUGACUGGUCCGUCGAGGUGCCCAGAGAGCUGCAGAGACAGAGGAAGAAACUUGAGCCUCAACAACAUCUGCAUUUGUUGGUUCUUCUGGGGUGGACUUCGGUUGCUUCUCUUCAACAACUCGCUGCGAGGGAGGUCUCCCCCGGAUGGCCUGAGUGAUGUCACCCACAUCUACACGCCUUAUUGUGAAUAACUCUUAUCCUUCAUCAAAUCAAAACUGAUGAGUCAUCAAAACAUUCACCCCCCCCCCCCCCAUACAGUGUGUGUCGAUAGAGACAUGAGCUAAUCACACCUAUUUGUUUUUUUUAACCAGGCUGUAAACAUGUUAAUCUCUGCUGUAAAAACAGACUUUUUUUGAAUGUAGUUUUUCAGAUUAAAUAAAUAUUUCUAUAUAAA